GCCCAUAAAGAAAGAGACAGAAGCAAAGGGGAGGAGGGGCUGAGGAGCAAUAUCUGCUUAGAACCCGAAACUCCCGUGCUUUCUCUCUCUCUCUCUACAUAGAGAUUCUCAAAUCUCAAUCCCCGAACAGAUUCAUGGUUUUUAUACCCCAGAGAUCUUUUGUCUCUCUCUCUAUCUCUCUCGCUUUCUAUGUUUCUGCACUUUGUAUGCUUCUGUGGUCUCAUUCUUUCUCGCUCUUCGCUGACACUUACUUCCUCUCACCUUCUCUUCUGGUUUUUCUUCAGUAACCUCGCUGCUGCUGCUGUUUGUUUCUCUGUCUGACUCAAUUUCAUUUAUUCUAUCACCAUUUUUAACGUUUUCUUGCUCUAGAUCUCUUUCUCUUUGUCUCUGCCAAAAUCCGGAUUCCGAAAUCCUCAGAUCCGUACAGAGAGAGAGAGAGAGAGAGAGAGAGAGAGAGAGAGAGAGAGAGAGAGCUUCCCAUGUUAGGACUUUGACCGAUCUUUCGAUCUCGAAAGUCGUAGCAAAGCGAUGGGGAUGUGCUACGGCAAGAACAUUUCCGUCGUCGUCGAAGACGACACUAUCGUCCGCACCGGCGAUCGUACUCAGACGCCGUCUACUUCUACUCCCGGUAAUGGUGCCUUCACUGGGCGUUCAGUGAAGAACACCCCAGCUCACUCUUCUUCCAACAGCCCUUGGCGGAGUCCUUUCCCUCACGGUUCUGGUACUAGUCCUCUUCCACCUGGAAUCGCUCCGUCUCCAGUGAGGUCCACUCCCCGUCGAUUUUUCCGCCGACCUUUCCCUCCUCCCUCACCGGCGAAGCACAUCAAGGCUUCCCUAGCCAAACGUCUUGGACCCGCAAAGCCCAAGGAAGGUCCGAUCCCUGAGGAUGGCGCGGAGGUUGAGCGCCCGCUUGAUAAGAACUUUGGAUAUUCCAAGAAUUUCACUGCGAAAUACGAAUUGGGGAAGGAGGUUGGCCGCGGGCAUUUCGGUCAUACGUGCUCCGCCAAAGGCAAGAAAGGAGAGCUUAAAGGUCAACUUGUUGCCGUCAAGAUCAUCUCCAAAGCUAAGAUGACUACAGCAAUAUCAAUUGAAGAUGUUCGUAGAGAAGUCAAAAUUUUAAAAGCUUUAUCUGGGCACCCGAAUUUGGUAAAAUUUUACGAUGCGUGCGAGGAUGCCAAUAAUGUCUACAUUGUCAUGGAAUUGUGUGAAGGUGGAGAACUGCUGGACAGAAUUUUAUCCAGAGGUGGAAAAUACACAGAGGAAGAUGCAAAAGUUAUUGUUGUCCAAAUUUUAAGUGUAGUUGCCUAUUGUCAUCUUCAAGGUGUUGUACACCGUGAUUUGAAACCAGAGAAUUUUCUUUUUACAACUAGAGAUGAAGAUGCUCCGAUGAAGCUUAUUGACUUCGGUCUUUCUGACUUUAUUAGACCAGAUGAAAGACUGAAUGAUAUUGUUGGCAGUGCAUACUAUGUUGCACCUGAAGUCCUCCAUCGAUCAUACUGUAUGGAAGCAGAUAUAUGGAGUAUUGGUGUCAUAACAUUUAUCUUGUUAUGUGGAAGUAGACCUUUCUGGGCACGCACAGAGUCAGGGAUUUUCCGUGCUGUUUUAAGAGCUGAUCCAAACUUUGAUGAUUCACCUUGGCCUGUGAUAUCGCCAGAAGCCAAAGAUUUUGUUAAAAGGCUGCUGAACAAGGACCACAGGAAAAGAAUGACCGCAGCACAAGCUCUGACUCACCCAUGGUUGCGAGGCAAAACCUGUUCUGUGCCUCUUGAUACAUUGAUCUAUAAGCUAGUCAAGUCAUACCUUCGUGCCACUCCUUUCAAACGGGCAGCAUUAAAGGCUUUAUCAAAAGCGCUAACUGAGGAUGAACUCAUGUACCUUAGGGCUCAGUAUAGGCUGUUGGAACCACAUAAAGAUGCGCGUGUUUCUCUUGAGAACUUAAAAAUGGCUCUCAUGCGAAAUGCAACUGAUGCCAUGAAGGAGGCAAGGGUUCCUGAAUUUUUACACACUAUAGAACAACUUUCUCAUGGAAAAAUGGACUUUGAAGAGUUCUGCGCUGCAGCAAUCAGCACGUAUCAACUGGAGGCUCUUGAAAAGUGGGAGCAGAUUGCGAGCAAGGCUUUUGAAUAUUUUGAACUGGAAGGGAAUCGAGUUGUAUCAGUGGAGGAAUUGGCACGGGAAAUGAAUCUGGCCCCUACUGCUUACUCGAUACUUAACGACUGGAUGAGGAGCUCAGAUCGAAAGCUCAGUUUUCUUGGGUACACCAAAUUUUUGCAUGGUGUGACAAUCCGCAGCUCAAAUACGAGACAUCAGUAAUUUGUGUAGCUCUGGUGGCAUAUAAUUAUUUCAAAGGUCAUGUGAUGGAAAGCUGGAACCAACCCAUCAGCCUGUUCAAAACAAGAGGAAACCUGGUGGAAAUCUGGAUUUAUGUUGAGAUGGGAAUGGAGCACUUGAUAGACUGUAAAAAGUGUUGGCAAUGUGAUAGGCCUUUCUCUGCCUGUUCCAAUUUCUUCCCAGCUUGAAUCGGCUAGGAUCGUCGGAAACUUGGAGAAAGGGCUGAAGUAUACUGUUUUGAAUCGGCCUUACCAAUUCUUGAACAGUGCUCUGGAGCAUGUCAUGUUGCUAUAUUCACAUGGAAGCAGGGUUUAAAAACCUGAAAUUGGGUCCGGAUCAGUCUAGGAAUUGAUAUAUUUCAGGCAUCUGGGGUUUUCCUGAGCCGGACUGUAGAAAAUCAGGGUCGGCCUUAGGGUGUGCAAUCUUGUGCUAGCAUCUGGAGAACUCCUUUCAACAGAGGAAAAUUUAUAGGGGAGCAACCGGGCUGGCAUGGGAUUUCCGCCCUGGUUACCAGCUAAGCCUAUGCCUGAUCCCAUUUUUAUUUAUUUAUUAUUUUAUGUCAUUUUGAUAUUGCGUCACAACUUGCUACAAUAGCAAUCUUGGGCGGACCCAUAUAAUUAUUCAAAAACACCCGCAAGGGGAUCUUCAA